GACGAACGCUGGCGGCGUGCCUAAUACAUGCAAGUAGAACGCACAGUUUAUACCGUAGCUUGCUACACCAUAAACUGUGAGUUGCGAACGGGUGAGUAACGCGUAGGUAACCUGCCUGGUAGCGGGGGAUAACUAUUGGAAACGAUAGCUAAUACCGCAUAAUAUUGAUUAUUGCAUGAUAAUUGAUUGAAAGAUGCUAUUGCAUCACUACCAGAUGGACCUGCGUUGUAUUAGCUAGUAGGUGAGGUAACGGCUCACCUAGGCGACGAUACAUAGCCGACCUGAGAGGGUGAUCGGCCACACUGGGAAUGAGACACGGCCCAGACUCCUACGGGAGGCAGCAGUAGGGAAUCUUCGGCAAUGGACGAAAGUCUGACCGAGCAACGCCGCGUGAGUGAAGAAGGUUUUCGGAUCGUAAAGCUCUGUUGUAAGAGAAGAACGGGUGUGAGAGUGGAAAGUUCACACUGUGACGGUAUCUUACCAGAAAGGGACGGCUAACUACGUG
rnacentral:rRNA from 1 species